rnacentral:lncRNA from 1 species
GGCUCUCAGCGGGUCCCAGCUGACGGAAGGUGGGGGAGGAGUGCGAGGGUCUCUGAGACAGGUUGGGAGCCAGCCCCACCUCCAUUUCCAAAGCGGGGGUCCAGGCACAGGAACAGCCAAACGCCCGAACCAGCGGGGUUACCUUUGCCACUUCAUCCAAUCCGAGCAUCGGCUGACAAGUUUAUUUAAUCCCUGAACCUGGAUCCAAGGCAUCUCCCUGUAGAAAACAUCAGACCGGGGCAGAGAUUGACAAAGCAACCCAAAGCAGCAGCUGCCAACGGCCGCUGUGCCCACCUCAUCAGCAGCUAAAGAGUAUAAUUUUAAAAAAAGUCACAGAAGAAUGUGGAGACACUUAGCAAAACGGACUCUCAUAAGGAGGCUGAUGGACUACAUCCAUGGGGUACUUUGUCCUCUGGCUUCCAAUUAGAUUCAGACAACAGGAAGCAUCAACAGCUAAUGGGAGACGAAGAGGAAAAAUUGGGGUACCUAUUCCCCUAGAUUACUCCCUGCUGAUUGCUGCAGAGGGGCUUCAUCCUUGCCCUGGUUUCUGGAAAACACUCUUUCAUUGCCCAUGCAGGCCUAGGAGUGAUGAUGCCUCACUGGAUGGCAAAGUCUCUUAUUGGUUUCCCUAAAUCUUACUCACAACUUGUAGAUACUCCCUCUAUUAAAUCCUUUUCAGUUACCCAG